rnacentral:rRNA from 1 species
CAGCCGCCGCGGGAAUACGUAGGUGGCAAGCGUUGUCCGGAAUUAUUGGGCGUAAAGGGCUCGCAGGCGGUUUCUUAAGUCUGAUGUGAAAGCCCCCGGCUCAACCGGGGAGGGUCAUUGGAAACUGGGAAACUUGAGUGUAGAAGAGGAGAGUGGAAUUCCACGUGUAGCGGUGAAAUGCGUAGAGAUGUGGAGGAACACCAGUGGCGAAGGCGACUCUCUGGUCUGUAACUGACGCUGAGGAGCGAAAGCGUGGGGAGCGAACAGGAUUAGAUACCCCCGUAGUCCCUGUCUCUUAUAC